GACCGCCUGGCGGCAGGCCUAACACAUGCAAGUCGAGCGGUAACAGAAAGAAAGCUUGCUUUCUUUGCUGACGAGCGGCGGACGGGUGAGUAAUGCCUGGGAAAUUGCCUUGAUGUGGGGGAUAACCAUUGGAAACGAUGGCUAAUACCGCAUAACGCCUUCGGGCCAAAGAGGGGGACCUUCGGGCCUCUCGCGUCAAGAUAUGCCCAGGUGAGAUUAGCUUGUUGGUGAGGUAA
rnacentral:rRNA from 1 species